UACGGAGGGGGCGAGCGUUGUUCGGAAUUAUUGGGCGUAAAGCGCGCGCAGGCGGUCCUUUAAGUCUGAUGUGAAAGCCCACGGCUCAACCGUGGAGGGUCAUUGGAAACUGGGGGACUUGAGUACAGAAGAGAAGAGUGGAAUUCCACGUGUAGCGGUGAAAUGCGUAGAGAUGUGGAGGAACACCAGUGGCGAAGGCGACUCUUUGGUCUGUAACUGACGCUGAGGCGCGAAAGCGUGGGGAGCGAACAGG
rnacentral:rRNA from 1 species